rnacentral:rRNA from 1 species
GGCUCCGGGUGGACACUUCAAACUCUUGCGUAACUUUGCAGUCUGAGUAAUUUAAUUAUAUAAAUUAUAUAACUUCUCUAUACAACGGAUCUCUUGGUUCUGCGCAUCAGAUGAUAGAACGCAGCAGACAAUGCUGAUAAUGUAGAUGUGAUAUUGCANAAUUCAGUAGAUAUCAUCAGAAUCUUCUGUAUACGCACAUCUGCUGCCCCCUGGUAUUCCGNGGGGCAUGCCUGUUCGAGCAGUCAUUUCACCACUCAAGCCUCGCUUGGUAUUGGUGC